GUCUCUGUGGCGCAAUCGUUCGGUAGCGCGUUCGGCUGUUAACCGAAAGGUUGGUGGUUCGAGCCCACCCAGGGACG